rnacentral:rRNA from 1 species
GUGGGGAAUAUUGCACAAUGGGCGCAAGCCUGAUGCAGCAACGCCGCGUGAGGGAUGACGGCCUUCGGGUUGUAAACCUCUUUUAGUAGGGAAGAAGCGUAAGUGACGGUACCUGCAGAAAAAGCACCGGCUAACUACGUGCCAGCAGCCGCGGUAAUACGUAGGGUGCAAGCGUUGUCCGGAAUUAUUGGGCGUAAAGAGCUCGUAGGCGGCUUGUCGCGUCUGCUGUGAAAUCCCGGAGCUCAACUCCGGGCGUGCAGUGGGUACGGGCAGGCUAGAGUGCGGUAGGGGAGAUUGGAAUUCCUGGUGUAGCGGUGGAAUGCGCAGAUAUCAGGAGGAACACCGAUGGCGAAGGCAGAUCUCUGGGCCGUAACUGACGCUGAGGAGCGAAAGCAUGGGGAGCGAACAGGAUUAGAUACCCUUGUAGUCC